rnacentral:lncRNA from 1 species
UUAGAUUGAGCAGCUGUCGUGAGUGAUCAAUAAGCUUUGUAUUUUAGUUAAUCAAGUUGAAAAACCUAAACAAGCUCUUGAUAAACAAGGACAUGAAACAGUUUUGAAAUCUGUACCAACUACAAGCUGUUGAUUGAGAUUUACUUGUGCCGUCGGAACUCAAAUGUUCUGGCAUAAAAUAUAGUGGAACUGAAGUUGUAAAGGCUAUUAAUAUUGCUGCUAUACUGAAAAUUUGGGCAGCAAUCAAUCAGCAGCAUAAACGGGAUGGUGUUACACCUCUGGCUAAGUGAAUUCGCACAACCAGUACGACUUUUCCUACUCAUACGGGGCUGCAACAUUUCAAAACACCCUAUCAAUUUUCAUCUCUAUGACAAAACAAGGGAAGAUUAUGAGGUUUUACAAACUGAAUUUCCUUUUCCUCUUCCUAAAAUGAAAUACAAUUGUGCUUAUAAACCUGAAAGCAAUAUUACA